rnacentral:rRNA from 1 species
GACGAACGCUGGCGGCGUGCUUAACACAUGCAAGUCGAGCGGUAAGGCCCUUUCGGGGGUACACGAGCGGCGAACGGGUGAGUAACACGUGGGUGACCUGCCCUCAGCUCUGGGAUAAGCCUGGGAAACCGGGUCUAAUACUGGAUAUGACUCCAUGACGCAUGUUGUGGGGUGGAAAGCCUUGCGCGGCUGAGGAUGGGCCCGCGGCCUAUCAGCUUGUUGGUGGGGUGAUGGCCUACCAAGGCGACGACGGGUAGCCGGCCUGAGAGGGCGACCGGCCACACUGGGACUGAGACACGGCCCAGACUCCUACGGGAGGCAGCAGUGGGGAAUCUUGCGCAAUGGGCGAAAGCCUGACGCAGCGACGCCGCGUGAGGGAUGACGGCCU